UGAGGAAUAUUGCGCAAUGGCCGAAAGGCUGACGCAGCGACGCCGCGUGAAGGAUGAAGUUCGUUAGAAUGUAAACUUCUUUUGUAGGGGAUGAAUGUGCCGUUUUGCGGCAUUGACCGUACCCUGCGAAUAAGGAUCGGCUAACUACGUGCCAGCAGCCGCGGUAAUACGUAGGAUCCGAGCGUUGUCCGGAUUUACUGGGCGUAAAGGGUGUGUAGGCGGUGCUCUAAGUGUGGUGUGAAAUCUCCCGGCUCAACUGGGAGGGUGCGCUACGAACUGGAGUGCUCGAGUGCGGGAUGGGAGAGUGGAAUUCCUGGUGUAGCGGUGAAAUGCGUAGAUAUCAGGAGGAACACCGGUGGUGUAGACGGCUCUCUGGACCGCAACUGACGCUGAGACACGAAAGCGUGGGUAGCAAACAGGAUUAGAUACCCGCGUAGUCCCUGAGCGGGCUGGCAAGGCGCAU
rnacentral:rRNA from 1 species